UACGUAGGCGGAAAAUUAAGUCAGUAGUGAAAUCCUGCAGCUUAACUGUAGAACUGUUAUUGAUACUGGUUUUCUUGAAUAUAGUUGAGGUAGGCGGAAUGUGUAAUGUAGCGGUGAAAUGCUUAGAUAUUACACAGAACACCGAUUGCGAAGGCAGCUUACUAAGCCAUUAUUGACGCUGAGGCACGAAAGCGUGGGGAGCGAACAGGAUUAGAUACCCUGGUAGUCC
rnacentral:rRNA from 1 species